rnacentral:rRNA from 1 species
GAUGAACGCUGGCGGCGUGCUUAACACAUGCAAGUCGAACGAGAAGUGAAGACGGAAACCUUCGGGCGGAAGGCUUUAUUUCGAGUGGCGGACGGGUGAGUAACGCGUGGGUAACCUGCCUCAUACAGGGGGAUAACAGUUGGAAACGACUGUUAAUACCGCAUAAGACCACAGCACCGCAUGGUGCGGGGGUAAAAACUCCGGUGGUAUGAGAUGGACCCGCGUUCGAUUAGCCAGUUGGCGGGGUACGGCCCACCAAAGCGACGAUCGAUAGCCGAUCUGAGAGGAUGACCGGCCACAUUGGGACUGAGACACGGCCCAAACUCCUACGGGAGGCAGCAGUGGGGAAUAUUGCACAAUGGGGGAAACCCUGAUGCAGCGACGCCGCGUGAGUGAAGAAGUAUUUCGGUAUGUAAAGCUCUAUCAGCAGGGAAGAAAAUGACGGUACCUGAGUAAGAAGCCCCGGCUAACUACGUG